rnacentral:lncRNA from 1 species
CCGGAGAUCGAACUCGGACCUUCCGCUUGCGAGGCAGCCGGCGGAACGCCCGGCCCCUUUUCCACCUUUCCUCUUUGGAAUGCAGUCAUAAUUUAUGAUGAAGUGCAUUGGAAGUCACAGGGUCCACAUCAAGAAUUCAGAGAUGGAAAUACCUGAGUCCUCGGUGAGCCACUGUAUCAUCCAACUCGAUGCUCUCUUUACUGCUGGACUUCUAAUUAUGCUAGUACAAAUAAUGGUGCUAACAACACUGAAAUAUUCACUCAAGUUAAAUGAAAAGAUGUUUACACAAAAACUUGUAUGAGAAUGUUCAUAG